rnacentral:rRNA from 1 species
GAUGAACGCUGACAGAAUGCUUAACACAUGCAAGUCGAUGGGGAAGUGGUGCUUGCACCAUGGCAACCAUGGCGGACGGGUGAGUAACGCGUAAGGGACUUACCUGCAGGACUGGGAUAACAGGGGGAAACUCCUGACAAGACCGGAUAAUGUCAUGGAGCUGCAUGGCUUUAUGAUGAAAGGAGACGCCUGCGGAGAGCCUUGCGUCCUAUUAGCUAGUUGGUGAGGUAAUGGCUCACCAAGGCGAAGAUAGGUAGCCGGCCUGAGAGGGUGGACGGCCACAAGGGGACUGAGAUACGGCCCUUACUCCUACGGGAGGCGGCAGUGGGGAAUAUUGGACAAUGGGGGCAACCCUGAUCCAGCAAUUCUGUGUGCACGAAGAAGGUUUUCGGAUUGUAAAGUGCUUUCAGCAGGGAAGAAGUAAGUGACGGUACCUGCAGAAGAAGCGACGGCUAAAUACGUG